rnacentral:rRNA from 1 species
AGUGAACGCUGGCGGCGUGCUUAACACAUGCAAGUCGAACGAGAACGGAAUAUAGCUUGCUAUAUUUGUCAGCUAAGUGGCGCACGGGUGAGUAAUGUAUAGAUAACCUGCCCUUAAGAAAGGAAUAACAGUUGGAAACGACUGCUAAUGCCCUAUAUGCCUUUAAUACAUAAGUAUGCAAGGGAAACGCUUUAGUGCUUAAGGAUGGGUCUGUAUGGUAUCAGCUUGUUGGUGAGGUAAUGGCUCACCAAGGCUAUGACGCCUAACUGGUUUGAGAGGAUGAUCAGUCACAAUGGAACUGAGACACGGUCCAGACUCUUACAGGAGGCAGCUGUGGGGAAUAUUGCACAAUGGACGAAAGUCUGAUGCGGCGACGCCGCGUGGAGGAUGACACAUUUCGAUGCGUAAACUCCUUUUAUAUAGGAAGAUAAUGACGUUACGAUAUGAAUAAGCACCGGCUAACUCCCUGCCAGCCGCCGCUGUAA